AGAUGAAUGAUAGAUAGGUAGAGGCAUGGAUGGAUAGAAAGGUCAAUGGAUGUGCAGACGAACAGAUGAAUCAGGGACUGAUUCAGACAAUGGGAUGUUGAAUAAAGUCUGGAAAUUUAAGUAUUUUUACAUCAUGCCUUCUUUCUUCAUUCGUAUUCAGAUCUGGGACAUACUUUCAAAUUCCACGCUUUUCCAGACUACAUGUCCCAUUCACUUCCUGGAUGUUACUCUGUUUUUGCACUUUUCAGUAACAGGAAAACAUGCAUAUCCCCGCAAAGCAAUACAAAAAACCUAAUAAACGAGGAUUAAUUUAGUCAGGACUCCCAUCAUCAUAAGGAGAGUAACAUCCAAACCUUUGUAAAGACCACAAAGGAGCUUGUAAUAAACCGACUUGGCAACAAAACCCUAAAAACAUUCAGAUAUAAGUCACAAAAAACAGAUACUCCUAUUAGCUUUAGAAAUCACUCUAAAGUAUUGACCCUACUGCUUACCGACGCAAACAAACUGUUAAAAUAGUGGCUAAUGCUCGAUGCUAACCCACAGCUAAUCUUCGGAAACCAGAGAAAACACCCGUUUAAAAGCUGCAGCUGACAGUUAAGCGCUGUGAUUUUUACCCCUUUGUUUAAAUGCCUCAUCUAUAAAAGUGUCAACUGUGCGAAUGUGUUGACCUGCUACCUCUGAAGCCGACACCAGGUUCUGCAUCUCGACAUGUGCAGUUGCAGAACUUCACUCUGCAUUCAGAACUCAGGACACCUUUUAUGCGGCACUGGUAAAGGUCAGUGAGGAGUUUCUGCAGGUAUCCUUUUUUUCCUGAAAGGCCACGGAAAGUUUCUUGGAGUUUCACAUGCCUUGAGAGAUUACUCGCAAGCUCAGCGUAUGAGCUGCAGGACACCAUCCAUACUCUCAAAGAAGAGAACCUCCACCUGCAGCACCGCUUGGAGAACCUCACCCGAGCCCUCAGAGAGCUGAAGCACCUUCUGACAGAGCACUCUAAAGCUUCUCAGGGAAAAUAUGAUCCUGAAUAUAUGCAUGCCUGGAGGGAAUGGUCCCAACAUGGCAUUAGUGCUGAGACUCAUCAUAUGUUGGAGCAGGCUCUUUGUUUAACCGAACUUCAUGACACUGCAUGUCCCAUCUUCAUCUCUCCAGGUCUCCUCCUCUUCACAUAUGUUGUGUUUGUUCUUGCUUCACAGUUUUGGUUUUAAUUAACAAAUAUUCAGCUAUGAAUCACCCACAGUAAUGUAACAAAUCCCACAGAUUAUUCCUAUAUUACUUUUUUAAUCUGCCUGAGCAAAAACAACUGCAAACUUGAUGUACUUAUAAAAAAAAAAAACUUUGUCUGUAAGACCUAAUUUGAAAGAUAUAGAUGUGAUAGAACAAGUAGUAAUAAAUCAUUGUUGCAUUCA